rnacentral:lncRNA from 1 species
AAUGAAACUAUAUCAGUGUCUUCUUAUAAAAUUUGGAAAGAUGAUUGUUUAUUGAUGGUCUGGUCAGUCACUAAUAAGAGUGGUUUGGAAUUGAAAAGUGCUGACUUAGAAAUUUUUCCUGCAGAAAAUUUCAAGACCAUUAAAAAUCUCAAGUGACGACUUUGGGAAACUCUGGUUAUCCUUCGCAAAUGAUGUGAAACAAAAUGUAAAAAUGUCAGAAUCUCAAGCUGCACUUCCUUCUGCACUAAAGACUCUGCAACAGAAACUAAGACUCCAUAUUAUUGAGAUUAUAGGCAAUGAAGGGCUAUUGGCCUGUCAGCUGCUCCCAUCCAUCCCCUGCUUACUGCAUUGCCGAGUUCAUGCAGAUGUAUUAGCCCUGUGGUUCAGAUCCUCCUGUUCUACUCUUCCUGACUAUUUACUGUAUCAGUGUCAAAAGGUGAUGGAGGGAUCCUAGCAGAAGCCCUGCUAAAUUUUACUCCAUCAAGAUCAAUGGUUUACAUAGAUAAACUUAUUUACCAAAGUAAAAAGAACUCAUGGUACUUCUAAUGAAAAUGGGGAUUAUUACAAGUGUGGUUUAUAUGUUUUCUUUGUGAUUCCUGGUCAAGAAAGAUCCCCAAAACUGUAUCCCUAACCUUUAACUCAGGAUUGUACAGUAUGUUUAGGUCCCUCAAAAAGUGACCUAAGCUAAUGUUAUAAACUGCUAAUGAUUUAUAUAUCACUUAGUGUGUAGAGGGACUGAAAAUAUUUAUUUUGUUAUAAAUAAUUUUAUAGCACGUUUACUCUAGUGCUAGCUAAUUUGUAAUAAAGCCAAGUCUCAGUUUUCUGCAUUAAAUGGAAGGGAGACAUGAAAUUGAUAAUCUCAAACUUAAUUCAUAUUUGGCUUUGGAAUGUAGUGUAUGGUUUUUGGUAGGGAAGUCAAUAUUUUCGAUUAUGUUUUGCUUAGAUCAGUGUUGAACUAAGUUGGCAUAGCACACACUAACAGUUGUAGGAGAUCCAUGAGCAUGCUGGAUAUUGAGGGGAUCCAAUCUGUGAUCUAUUUUUUAUUAUAGAUAACUGUUACACAUAAUUUCAGAUCGUUUGGCUGUAAAAUUUGUCUGUUUUCCACUUGGAGUUAUUUUAAAAUUCAAAGUAAAUCACUCUAUUCUUAUUUUGAAAACUCAGAGCCAUUUUAUAUAGAAACAAAACCCAUAAGAGCACACAGUAACAAAGCAAACAGAUACAAAAAUGACUUUU